rnacentral:rRNA from 1 species
UACGUAGGUGGCAAGCGUUGUCCGGAAUUAUUGGGCGUAAAGAGCGCGUAGGCGGUAUGAUAAGUCUGUCUUAGAAGUGCGGGGCUUAACCCCGUGAGGGGACAGAGACUGUCAUACUAGAGUCUCGGAGAGGAAAGCGGAAUUCCUAGUGUAGCGGUGAAAUGCGUAGAGAUUAGGAAGAACACCGGUGGCGAAGGCGGCUUUCUGGACGAGCACUGACGCUGAGGCGCGAAAGCGUGGGGAGCGAACAGG